rnacentral:rRNA from 1 species
AUAAUGGGUCAGCGACUUAUAUUCUGUAGCAAGGUUAACCGAAUAGGGGAGCCGAAGGGAAACCGAGUCUUAACUGGGCGUUAAGUUGCAGGGUAUAGACCCGAAACCCGGUGAUCUAGCCAUGGGCAGGUUGAAGGUUGGGUAACACUAACUGGAGGACCGAACCGACUAAUGUUGAAAAAUUAGCGGAUGACUUGUGGCUGGGGGUGAAAGGCCAAUCAAACCGGGAGAUAGCUGGUUCUCCCCGAAAGCUAUUUAGGUAGCGCCUCGUGAAUUCAUCUCCGGGGGUAGAGCACUGUUUCGGCAAGGGGGUCAUCCCGACUUACCAACCCGAUGCAAACUGCGAAUACCGGAGAAUGUUAUCACGGGAGACACACGGCGGGUGCUAACGUCCGUCGUGAAGAGGGAAACAACCCAGACCGCCAGCUAAGGUCCCAAAGUCAUGGUUAAGUGGGAAACGAUGUGGGAAGGCCCAGACAGCCAGGAUGUUGGCUUAGAAGCAGCCAUCAUUUAAAGAAAGCGUAAUAGCUCACUGGUCGAGUCGGCCUGCGCGGAAGAUGUAACGGGGCUAAACCAUGCACCGAAGCUGCGGCAGCGACGCUUAUGCGUUGUUGGGUAGGGGAGCGUUCUGUAAGCCUGUGAAGGUGUACUGUGAGGUAUGCUGGAGGUAUCAGAAGUGCGAAUGCUGACAUAAGUAACGAUAAAG